CCUGAGAAACCCAAAAGAUCGAAUGGGGAGAUUCAUCGUCAGCUCAUUUUGUAUAUAUAUAAGUAAUGAUGUGGGUUACUACUUGUAUUGCCUAUACAUUCUUGUAUAUUUUAUUGCUAAAUGUUGUCGGCGUGCACUUCUCCCCUAGUAGAACGUCGCGACUCGUUGAGUGUCGGUCUACGGCCCAAGUGAUAGUCUUUAAUGAUAAAUUUAAAAAAGUCAUUAAAAAUCCUUGGUGUUUUCUGAUCCGACUACUUGGCGAUACUCAAACGGUAUUUAGCCGCAAAUUUUAUUUAAUUUGCGUUCAUACCCGUCGCAAGCGAGGCCAAUUCAAUUACUAGUAGUACGGACCAAGUGCCGUCGCUGGUAUUGGCCAGCUGUUGGUUGUACGGUGUUCUAGAACUGGCUAUAAGAAUUACCGGUCGGCGAUGCUACUGCUUUGGGUACUUUCAGG
rnacentral:rRNA from 1 species